rnacentral:rRNA from 1 species
UACGAAGGGGGCUAGCGUUGCUCGGAAUCACUGGGCGUAAAGGGUGCGUAGGCGGUUCUUUAAGUCAGGGGUGAAAUCCUGGAGCUCAACUCCAGAACUGCCUUUGAUACUGAGGAUCUUGAGUCCGGGAGAGGUGAGUGGAACUGCGAGUGUAGAGGUGAAAUUCGUAGAUAUUCGCAAGAACACCAGUGGCGAAGGCGGCUCACUGGCCCGGUACUGACGCUGAGGCACGAAAGCGUGGGGAGCAAACAGG